GGGAGCUGUGGCAGUCAACUCGCCGCAGUGAGGAUGGCCAGAUCAGCUGUAUUGGGCAUGAAUUUCAGCUUUUCUGAUUUUCACCCAAAUCCAUAGGGCUGCCAAUCCUCAGGCCUAGCCUCCAGCAGUAUGCAGCCUCCUUGGGCUUGUCCCCUGAGGGAGGAGCGAGUCUCAGCUGUGAAGAAGAAACAUCAAUGAUGCCUCUACCCCAGCCAAGCUGGCUUGUCCCUUGCCCAAGAUCUCGCUCACAAAGGGCUCUUUCUCUUGUUGUUGUUUUUCUUUGAAACGCCUUCAUGUUAAGCUGGCUAAUUAUGAGACUCUCCUGACGUCUCACGUUGACCCUGGGCCAUGCUCCAAGAGUAACU